rnacentral:lncRNA from 10 species
CUUUAUUGUGUCCAAGGAUUCUACUGAGUACAAUCCCAGCUGAUUUUAGAGUGGAGACAGAAUUGCCCCAACUGCAACCCCCCCACCUCCACUCCAGCCCACUUCAAAUUUGCAAGUGACAUGAAAGCAAAGGACUUCCAUAAUCAACACAGGGUAGAUGACCAUAGCCCUUCUAGUUUGGAUUACUUCCCGAUGCUUUCCUUCCAACACACACACACACAGACACACACACACACACACACACACACACCCCGUAUGCUUAGUUAGCUGGCGCGCACACACAUACACACCUUGUAUGCUUAGCAGCUGGCACAAGGCCCUCCUACUUUUAUGCUCCCUGCCAACUGGCUUCAGAAUUAGCCAACUGGAAUGCUGUUGCCUGGGUCUAAUCCUGCUCCAGCACUACAAUCCUGGGACAUUAAAGUUCAAAGGAGUCAAACUUCAUAGGGCAGGUGGGGUGAGGAUGGGGAGUGGACAGUGAUACAUACCCUUAACAGGAGCUCAAUUUUUCCCCCUAUUUGGCCCUUUGCAGCAGAGUGCAGGGAACAAACAGGAGGGUAAACGGAAUAGGUGAUGGCAAAUGCCUCUCUCUGGGGCAGUCACUCCACAGGUUGAAGAGAUGGAGAAGACCUUCAGUGUUGUUCUGGGACAGGAGGGGGGCGUGUGAGGAGCACCAAAUUCAAAUAACAUUUUCUAGUUAGUUAUUACAUCUCUCGGGUUAAUUCCAAUUAAAUUUUUAUUAGCCAACACUCGGUCUCUCCCCAGGUGUUUCCCAACCUUGUGCUACUGAAUAAACAGUUUUGUAAAACCAUUCAUUCAAGCCCCACCAGGCACCUCAUACUGAAAUUCCAACCUAUUAGUGCAGCAGCAGCAGCAACUGUUAACUGCCACGUUCCGGCCCCACCCCAGAACAAGAGAAUCAGAAAUCGCUGGGGCAGGGCCCAGCAGUCUGUUUAAGCAGGUCCUCUGGGUAAAUGCACACUCAUUUGAGAGCCGCAGUAUUAAAGCCAUCUUUUGCAUUCAGCCUCCUAACUCCAGCUGUUAGUGUGAGGCUCUUCUUUUGGCCUUAGGGAGCAGCUGUUAGAAAACUCACAUCCUGAUGCAAGAGUGCCCAUACCUCCCUCUGCAGCUCUCAAACUUGCUCAGGAUGGAAAACAAGCGGCAGGGAUAGGGGUAGGAGGGCUGUGUUCCAAGCACACCAAAAUGAAAAAAGCAAUCCGUUAAGCUUUAAAUAUAUAAUUGUAAACUAAAUCAUCUGCCAUCUUCUCUCGGCUUCCAGUGUAGAGGUUACCCAUUAUUUUUGCUAACUGGCAAAGUAAUUAAUAAAUUCAAGACUUACCUAGCGUAGGAGCAUACUUCGAGAAACACUGGUCAUGAAAAAAUCUCCACAAUGAACAUAAUGCUCAGGAGAUUGGUAUUGAUGUGUUUUGCUCUUCAGUGUGAGAUGUGCCCCUUAGAUUUAAUCCUGUAUCGUCUCCUGAAAUCAAACAUCCUGUCCUGCCACAUGCAUCUCAUUGCUCAGCAGAUCACCCAGGCAGAGAGCAGGCUUAAAGAUCCUUCACUCUCUUCUGUCCAGCCUGUUCCACCCUGGAGAGGGCUGAGCAUACAGGUGACCACAGGUCAUUUCAGAGAAAAACUCAAACUGAUUCUCUAGUAUCUGGGCCUUGGUUCUUUCUUAGUGCUCACACAUACCUUUUUACCUCUAAUUACAGCAAAAGUGUAGUCAAUAAUUUUCUGUAAAUUACUGACUCACAGUAAUUUCUAAAGAGGCCAUCCUCAGCUAUACCAAGCUGUACAAAUUCCCCUCUCCAAUUCAGCUCACACAGCUUAAAUGCUUGCAAUGGCUGUUUGGUUGUGGCUGCCCCUCUUCUCCUUAACUAGCCCUCCCACUCUCACUAUCCAAAAGAUGUCUAGUUGAGAUGAUAAAUCUGAACUAAUCAAACCCUCUAAGAGAGCUCAUUUUAAUGUAAUAGAAUACUGCUAUCAAUCAAUGUUGUAGAAUUUGAGAAUAAAUGGUCAUGUGAGUCCUAGCAUGAAUUACAGGUUACUACUAUGACCAGACUUUACAAGCUUCCAGACCUCAGGGCUAGGGUUAAUCCAAAGAAAAAAGGUUA